CCCUUAGAUGUCCUGGGCCGCACGCGCGCUACACUGAUGCAUGCAACGAGUUUAUAACCUUGGCCUGAAAGGUCUGGGUAAUCUUUUGAACGUGCAUCGUGAUAGGGAUAGAUUAUUGCAAUUGUUAAUCUUGAACGAGGAAUUCCUAGUAAACGCGAGUCAUCAGCUCGCAUUGAUUACGUCCCUGCCCUUUGUACACAUCGCCCGUCGCACCUACCGAUUGAAUGGUUCGGUGAAGAUCUCGGACUUCGAUAUUUAUUCUUUAUUGAGUUUAUAUUGUGGGAAGUUAUCUAAACCUCAUCAUUUAGAGGAAGGUGAAGUCGUAACA
rnacentral:rRNA from 1 species